rnacentral:rRNA from 1 species
CUACGGGGUGCACCAGUGGGGAAUAUUGGACAAUGGGCGAAAGCCUGAUCCAGCAAUGCCGCGUGAGUGAUGAAGGCCUUAGGGUUGUAAAGCUCUUUUACCAGGGAUGAUAAUGACAGUACCUGGAGAAUAAGCUCCGGCUAACUCCGUGCCAGCAGCCGCGGUAAUACGGAGGGAGCUAGCGUUGUUCGGAAUUACUGGGCGUAAAGCGCGCGUAGGCGGCGACUCAAGUCAGAGGUGAAAGCCUGGAGCUCAACUCCAGAACUGCCUUUGAAACUAGGUUGCUAGAAUCUUGGAGAGGCGAGUGGAAUUCCGAGUGUAGAGGUGAAAUUCGUAGAUAUUCGGAAGAACACCAGUGGCGAAGGCGACUCGCUGGACAAGUAUUGACGCUGAGGUGCGAAAGCGUGGGGAGCAAACAGGAUUAGAUACCCGCGUAGUC